rnacentral:lncRNA from 1 species
UUGGUACCUUGGAGAGGUCAAAUAUUGUCACAACAGAAAAGAUAAAGAAAAACUAUCCAAGAACUACAAAGUCUUUGCAACCCAUGUCUCAUAUCUUGAGAUGCAGUUCUAUCAAUCAAUUUCCAUGCUACUUUCUUUGUGGCUCUAGCAAAAUGUUUUAAAAAUUGUAUUUAAAACAUAUUGAAGAGUAAAAAGUAAAUAACACAUUUACAGAUUUUUUUUUUCUGCAUCUGUUUUGAUUCAAGGUCUUUUGCAACCUAGAUGCCUUUCAACUGGAAGCUGACCUUGAACUCCUCCUAUCUCCUUGGUCCCUCCAAUCCUGAAUUAAAUGCCUACCUCACAAUAUUCAAGUAGUAUAUAUGUAUAUUUUAAGACAACUUUUCUUCUAUCUUUAGGAAUAAGUAGGGAAUUUUAGUUUUCCUAUAUAUUUUAGUGGAAUAUUUGAGUAUUUUGUGUUUUAAGGUUUUUCUGCUACAUUUUUACUUUUAUAAGUUUUCAUGCAAUAUAUUUUGAUGAUAGUCUUUCCUUUACCUUGAAUUCUACUAAGUCCUUCCUAUUUCCUUACUGACACAAAGUCAUGUUUUGUUUUCAUUCUCUUUUUAAAAAAGAAAAAAGCUACCACAAAACCAAGAAGAUAAAAGUCAUAACGAGUUAAGGCACAUAGACAAAGCAUUUUAACUGACUAUUUCUGAACAAAAGGCCGACCCUGAAAUGUGGUUGAUGUACUCAGUUGAUAUUUCCAUUGAAGAAAACUGAAUUUUCUUUUAUUCAAGCAAUGAAACUCUCAGACACUUAUUUUGAUUUAAUUGCUUCUUUUUUGUAUUAACAUGAAAUGAAUACUAACUUCUAAAAUUUCUUCCCUUAUUGCAAAGAUUCAUUUAGAAUUUUUCCUUUAAGAUAAUUGUAUAUACUUCCCAUAGGACAGAGUUUGUACUUUGUUGCCUUCUUCUUAUGAUACUUUCUGAAUUCUUUGGCAGAUUUUAUCACUUAAAAACUAGAAGAACAUGACUUAGUUGUGAAUAUAUGAGACUUAUUUUGUGGUGUAGAAUGUGAUAAGAUUGGUCCUUCCUCUAUUUGGGUGUUGAGUGGGUAAGAGCACCUUCUCUCCCUUUAGUCCUACUGGUUUUAACUUUAUUUAACUUGGGACUAUGUUAUUAUACAUAUGAAUUCAGAAGUAUUGCUCUGAUGGGCUGAAGUUCAAUCUUCAUAAAAUGCUGCUAUGUCUUUCUAGCAUUCUAUGACUUGUCUAGCUAUCCUGGUUAGUAGAGAGUGUGGGUUAAACAGAUAGGACUUUCUAUAUUGUGUCUAUGGUAGGCAGUAUAUUUGUGGUUUCUGAGCAUCGUCAGAGUAUUUAUCUUUUAAUUAGAGAAUUAUUAUACUUUUGCUUAGUGUAAUGACAUUGUUAUGUUGGACUCUACAUCUAAAGUGAUUUAAAAAUUUCCCUUUCCUUCUUUUUCCUAUCUCUUUUUAAAACAGUCAAGCAUCUUCUACACCAUUUUCAACUCUUAUUAAUACUGGUAAUUUUUAAAAAAAGGAAAGAAUUUCUACAGUAUGCUGGUCACUUUUUUUGUCAACUCAAGACAAACUAGAGACACUAGGGAAGAGAAAAUCUCUAUUAAAGAAUUGCCUUCAUAGGAAUGGCCUCUGUACAGACAUGCCACUCCUACAUAGUACGACUUGAACUGUAUAAGAAAAAUACCAGAUGAUAAAGCCAGAGGAAGUAACACCAGAUAAAGCCAGAGGAAGUGACCAGGGUUGCCAGCUGGUGACAUUAUUUGGGAAGGUAAUAAGACCUGGUGAUGGUAGAGUCUUGCUAGAGAAAGUACUUCACUCAUGGCAGGC